GCGCUCCGGCCUGCAGCAGAGCCCCUUAGAGCCCCACGGCUCGCCCUCCUGGGCUCCCCUGUCCAUUCUUCCGCACCCGGGCGGCCAUCCUGCCGGAAAGGAGCUCCCGAGAUGGCGCGGGGAGUUGUCCCCAAGGCAGGUAGUGCAAGGCUUCCACGACCGGGAGGAGGAAGGAGCUGGUCUUCCCAUCCCGGUCACUCGGUCCAGGGGAAGCAAUAACCAUCGCAAAGAUCAUUGCAUCCGACGGCCAAGCUUCAGUGAAUGACUCUAUAAGUAAUCACUAAGCUGUUUACAGAGUUUUCACUAGCUCCUCAGGGAGGUGUCAUUAGCCCCAUUUUACAGGAGGAAUUCAGGCCCAGAAGGGCUGGAGGACUUAUCAGCCGAAGCAGGCCUCCAGGAUCCAAAUGGGAACCCCAAAGCAGCCCUCGCUGGCUCCUGCACACGCCCUAGGCUUGAGGAAGUCCGAUCCCGGAAUCCGGAGCCUGGGGAGCGACGCGGGAGGAAGGCGGUGGAGACCAGCAGCCCAGAGUAUGUUCCAGAUCCCAGAGUUUGAGCCGAGUGAGCAGGAAGACGCUAGUACUACAGAUAGGGGCCUGGGCCCUAGCCUCACUGAGGACCAGCCAGGUCCCUACCUGGCCCCAGGUCUCCUGGGGAGCAUCGUUCAGCAGCAGCCGGGACAGGCAGCCAAUAACAGUCAUCAUGGAGGUAGGUUCCUCACUUCCAUCAUUUUCCUGUCCCAUGUCCCCUGACUCAGUUGCCCCUUACAUUCCUGUUGCAGCCAUACUUCUGAAGACUCUUGGGAAGCCCCAGAUAGCUCUGAUCAUCAAAUUGCCUCUUCUACAAACCAACUAUCACUGGGCUAAUGCACAGAGAUUUAUGGCAUGUCCUUAAUGAUUAAGCUGGUUCACUAAAUGCGGAAAACAGACUCCCUUAUUAUGUCCCAGACAAGAUAAGAUAGAUGUGCGUGGGAGGUAAGCAGAGCCCCCAAAAAGAAAUGACUUUCCUAAGGUCACUCUAAGGGGUGUUGUUGGAAGACUCCUCAGCCUGGAAUAGGACCUUCCAGUGGCCAGUAGGUUCUUUCUUACUCCAUGGCUCACCUAUAGCACAACUGUUCUUGCUCAGAUGGAGCAGGCAGGUGACCCUAAGUGACAAGCCAGAGCCGUGUGAAGUUGGAAAGAGGAAGACGGAGAGGCGUUGGAAGACACUGGUUAUACUUUCCACUUCCCAUCGCUGACCCCGUAACAGCCACAGAAACCUGAGCUCAACCAGGUUUGUCACUGGCUCCAUAGAGCUUAAAUUAUCCCUACCCCAUUAUGUUUCCCUGAACUGCUUCAAGCUCCCACACAGCUGAGACUGGCCUCUACCUCCCAAGUACUAGGACCACAGGCCACCGUGCCUGGCAUUCCACCUUCUUUUUAAAAUUAUGUGUAUAUGUGUGCCAUUGUAAAAUGCACAUGUGCAAGUGUGGGGGCCUUGCAAGCCAGAAGAGGGCGCUGGAUCCCCUAAAGCUGGAGUUACAGGUGGUUGUGAGCUGCCCCACCUCUUUGCUGGGAACUGAACUCAUGUCCUCUGCAAGAGCAGCAAAUGCCCUGAACGACUGAGCCAUUUUUCCAGUCCCCACCCCUUUUAACCUUCAGGUUUCUUUAUUAUCAUCAUCAUCAUCAUCAUCAUCAUCAUCAUCAUCAUUUAUUUUUUUGUUUUUCAAGACAAGGUUUCUCUAUGUAUCCCUGGCUGUCCUGGAACUCUCUCUUUAGACCAGGCUAGCCUGGAACUCAGAGAUCUGCCUCUGCCUCCCAGUGUGGGGAUUAAAGACAUGCACUGCCACUGCUGAGCAAUCUCCAGAUUUCUUUUUCUUUCCUUUUUAAAAAAAAUAAAAUGUUUAUUUAAUGUG
rnacentral:lncRNA from 1 species